UUGCUUCGGUACUGACCUAGCGGCGGACGGGUGAGUAAUACUUAGGAAUCUGCCUAUUAAUGGGGGACAACAUCUCGAAAGGGAUGCUAAUACCGCAUACGCCCUACGGGGGAAAGCAGGGGAUCACUUGUGACCUUGCGUUAAUAGAUGAGCCUAAGUCGGAUUAGCUAGUUGGUGGGGUAAAGGCCUACCAAGGCGACGAUCUGUAGCGGGUCUGAGAGGAUGAUCCGCCACACUGGGACUGAGACACGGCCCAGACUCCUACGGGAGGCAGCAGUGGGGAAUAUUGGACAAUGGGGGGAACCCUGAUCCAGCCAUGCCGCGUGUGUGAAGAAGGCCUUAUGGUUGUAAAGCACUUUAAGCGAGGAGGAGGCUCUCUUGGUUAAUACCCAAGAUGAGUGGACGUUACUCGCAGAAUAAGCACCGGCUAACUCUGUGCCAGCAGCCGCGGUAAUACAGAGGGUGCGAGCGUUAAUCGGAUUUACUGGGCGUAAAGCGUGCGUAGGCGGCUUUUUAAGUCGGAUGUGAAAUCCCCGAGCUUAACUUGGGAAUUG
rnacentral:rRNA from 1 species